rnacentral:lncRNA from 1 species
GCCCGAGCGUAGCUGCUAAGCAGCUGCGAGAGCCCUCUUGUUCCUGCAUGUUUCCUUCUUUUUAGGGCCCGAGCGUAGCUGCUAAGCAGCUGCGAGAGCCCUCUUGUUCCUGCAUGUUUCCUUCUUUAGGGCCCGAGCGUAGCUGCUAAGCAGCUGCGAGAGCCCUAUUAUUCCCCAAGUGGUUUUUCUUUGUUUCUUUCUUUCUUUCUUCUUUUUCCUCCCCUUUGAACUGGAAAAUGGCCCACUUCCCACUGGCGAAAACUCAUGAAAUUUGGCAGGACGACCGGGCCUGGUGAAAAAUUCGAUAUUCUGAAGUCGCCCAAACAAUAAAAUGCAAAAUGGCUCCAUAGCGCCCCCUAAGGUGGAAAUUCACACUAUUGACUGUCACGCCUGUACGCUUUGUCAUAUUGACACAAAAAUUGACACACAUAUGUAUCUCAAUAAGAUCUACAAAAAAGUCAGUGCGGCCGUAUCUGUCAAAAUUACGGUUAAAGGGUUAUUUCGCAUUUUUUGCCGAUCCGCACACAUUGGAAUUUCGCUAACUUCUCCGAAGGCUUUCGUUCCACCGGCACCACAUUUGCUCAGGCCAAUCUACACCCCGUGGCCAUUAAAAGUUAUCAAAAUCAUGACGCUUCACCACAAGGUUUAGGUUCUAGGGGGCGCCAAAGAUAACACUAAAAUCCACAUAUUUAAAAGUCUUAUAACUUUUUAUUUUUGUCCUCACUGGCCUCCAAGUUUUCUAGGAUGAUGCAAUGUCCAGCCAUCAACACAUUUGUGAAGGAAUUUUUACUCCCCAAAAGAGCGCCCCCCAUGGCAAGAGAAAAAAGUCAAUUUUUUCUUGUCCCCUAAGGUGAAAAUACACAUUGUUGAGUGUCACGCCUAUACGCUUUGUCAAAAUGACACAAAAAUUGACACACACAUGUAACUCAAUAAGAUCUACGAAAAAGUCAAUGCGCGCGUAUCUGUCAAAUGUACGGUUAAAGGGUUAUUCCGCAUUUUUUGCCGAUCCGCACACAUUGGAAUGUGGCUAACUCCUCCUAAGGCUUUCGUUCCACCGGCACCACAUUUGCUCAGGCCAAUCUACACCCCAUGGCCAUUAGAAGUUAUCAAAAUCAUGACGCUGCACCCCAAGGUUUAGGUUCUAGGGGGCGCCAAAGAUAACACUAAAAUCCACAUAUUUAAAAGUCUUAUAACUUUUUAUUUUUGUCCUCACUGGCCUCCAAGUUUUCUAGGAUGAUGCAAUGUCCAGCCAUCAACACAUCUGUGAAGGAAUUUUUACUCGCCAAAAGAGCGCCCCCCCCCAUGGCAGGAGAAAAAAGUCCAUUUUUUCUUGUCCCCUAAGGUGAAAAUACACAUUGUUGAGUGUCACGCCUGUACGCUUUGGCAAAAUGACACAAAAAUUGACACACACAUGUAUCUCAAUAAGAUCUACAAAAAAGUCAGUGCGGGCGUAUCUGUCAAAUGUACGGUUAAAGGGUUAUUGCGCAUUUUUUGCCGAUCCGCACACAUUGGAAUUUCGCUAACUCCUCCGAAGGCUUUCGUUCCACCGGCACCACAUUUGCUCAGGCCAAUCUACACCCCAUGGCCAUUAAAAGUUAUUCAAAUCAUGAUGCUGCACCCCAUGGUUUAGGUUCUAGGGGGCGCCAAAAAUAACCCAAAAAUCCACAUUCUUAAAUGUUUUAACUUUUUUUUUUUGUCCUCACUGGCCUCCAAGUUUUCUAGGAUGAUGCAAUGUCCAGCCAUCAACACAUUUGUGAAGGAAUUUUUACUCCCCAAAAGAGCGCCCCCCAUGGUAGGAGAAAAAAGUCAAUUUUUUCUUGUCCCCUUACAUGAAAAUACACAUUGUUGAGUGUCACGCCUGAACGCUAUGUCAUAUUGACACAAAAAUUGACAAUCAUGUGUAUCUCAAUUAGAUCUACGAAAAAGUCAAAGAGCGCGUAUCUGUAUAAUGUACGGUUAAAGGGCUAUUUUGCAUUUUUUGCCGAUUCGCACACAUUGGAAUGUGGCUAACUCCUCCUAAAUCUUUUGUCCCAUCGGCUUCAAAUUUGCUCAGGUCAAUCUACACCCUAUGGCCAUUCAAAGUUGUACAAAUCAUGACGCUGCACCCCACAGUUUACGUUCUAGGGGGCGCCAAAGAGGACCCAAAUAUCCACAUUUUUAAAAGUCUUAUAACUUUUUAUUUUUGUCCUCACUGGCCUCCAAGUUUUCUAGGAUGAUGCAAUGUCCAGCCAUCAACACAUUUGUGAAGGAAUUUUUCUCCCCAAAAGAGCGCCCCCCAUGGCAGGAGAAAAAGUCAAGUUUUUCCUGCCCAUCGCUCAAUGGCUCAAACGCAUCGCUCUCUCGGCAAAACCGAAAGGAGGAGCAACUUGCCAUUUGGAUAUAUACUAGCUGUGUUUGUGCCCUCACUCAUGGUCCAGACUUUUUUCAAAAAGGACAUGGAGUUUGUCUGCAGCGAGCGUUUUGGUAGAAACUGCGCCUCCCAUUCAUUAUAAUGGUAAAUGACCACUGACAAGUGCGCACACCAUCUUUGGACCUUGAGUGUGACGCGAUCGGGAGGGGUAGGCGGUCGCGCUGGGGGCGGCGCGACACGGCUCGGGCCCGCCAGUGCCCCAACGGGGCCCUAGUUUGUUAUUAGGGCCCGAGCGUAGCUGCUAAGCAGCUGCGAGAGCCCUAUUAUUCCCCAAGUGGUUUUUUAGGGCCCGAGCCAGCUGCAGAGCAGCCGGGCGUAGAGCCCUAUUAUUCCUGUAUAGGUUUUUCUUUCUUCUUUCUUUCUUUCUUUCUUUCUUCUUAUUUUUCCUCCCCUUUGAAGGGGAAAAUGGCCCACUUCCCACUGGCGAAAACUCAGGAAAUUUGGCAGGACGACCGGGCCCGGUGAAAAAUUCGAUAUUCUGAAGUCGCCCAAACAAUAAAAUGCAAAAUGGCUCCAUAGCGCCCCCUAAGGCGAAAAUUCACACUAUUGACUGUCACGCCUGUACGCUUUGUCAUUUUGACACAAAAAUUGACACACACGUGUAUCUCAAUACGGUCUACGAAAAAGUCAGCGCGGGCGCAUCUGUGAAAUGUACGGUUAGAGGGUUAUUUCGCAUUUUUUGCCGAUCUGCACACAUUGGAAUUUCGCUAACUCCUCCGAAGGCUUUCGUUCCACCGGCACCACAUUUGCUCAGGCCAAUCUACACCCCAUGGCCAUUAAAAGUUGUACAAAUCAUGACGCUGCACCCCACGGUUUACGUUCUAGGGGGCGCCAAAGAUAACCCAAAAAUCCACAGUCUUAAAAGUCUUAUAACUUUUUAUUUUUGUCCUCACUGGCCUCCAAGUUUUCUAGGAUGAUGCAAUGUCCAGCCAUCAACACAUUUGUGAAGGAAUUUUUACUCACGAAAAGAGCGCCCCCCCAUGGCAGGAGAAAAAAGUCCAUUUUUUCUUGUCCCCUAAGGUGAAAAAACACAUUGUUGACUGUCACGCCUAUACGCUUUGUCAAAAUGAUACAAAAUUUGACACACACGUGUAUCUCAAUAAGAUCUACGAAAAAGUCAAUGUGCACGUAUCUGUAAAAUGUACGGUUAAAGGGUUAUUUCGCAUUUUUUCCCGAUCCGCACACAUUGGAAUUUCGCUAACUCCUCCGAAGGCUUUCGUUCCACCGGCACCACAUUUGCUCAGGCCAAUCUACACCCCAUGGCCAUUAAAAGUUGUACAAAUCAUGACGCUGCACCCCACGGUUUACGUUCUAGGGGGCGCCAAAGAUAACCCAAAAAUCCACAGUCUUAAAAGUCUUAUAACUUUUUAUUUUUGUCCUCACUGGCCUCCAAGUUUUCUAGGAUGAUGCAAUGUCCAGCCAUCAACACAUUUGUGAAGGAAUUUUUACUCACGAAAAGAGCGCCCCCCCAUGGCAGGAGAAAAAAGUCCAUUUUUUCUUGUCCCCUAAGGUGAAAAAACACAUUGUUGACUGUCACGCCUAUACGCUUUGUCAAAAUGAUACAAAAUUUGACACACACGUGUAUCUCAAUAAGAUCUACGAAAAAGUCAAUGUGCACGUAUCUGUAAAAUGUACGGUUAAAGGGUUAUUUCGCAUUUUUUCCCGAUCCGCACACAUUGGAAUUUCGCUAACUCCUCCGAAGGCUUUAGUUCCACCGCCACCAAAUUUGCUCAGGCCAAUCUACACCCCAUGGCCAUUAAAAGUUGUAAAAAUCAUGACGCUGCACUCCACGGUUUAGGUUCUAGGGGGCGCCAAAGAUAACCCAAAGAUCCACAUUCUUAAUAGUCUUAUAACUUUUUAUUUUUGUCCUCACUGGCCUCCAAGUUUUCUAGGAUGAUGCAAUGUCCAGCCAUCAACACAUUUGUAAAGGAAUUUUUACUCCCGAAAAGGGCGCCCCCCCAUGGCAGGAGAAAAAAGUCCAUUUUUUCUUGUCCCCUAAGGUGAAAAAACACAUUGUUGACUGUCACGCCUAUACGCUUUGUCAAAAUGAUACAAAAUUUGACACACACGUGUAUCUCAAUAAGAUCUACGAAAAAGUCAAUGUGCACGUAUCUGUAAAAUGUACGGUUAAAGGGUUAUUUCGCUUUUUUUCCCGAUCCGCACACAUUGGAAUUUCGCUAACUCCUCCGAAGGCUUUAGUUCCACCGCCACCAAAUUUGCUCAGGCCAAUCUACACCCCAUGGCCAUUAAAAGUUGUAAAAAUCAUGACGCUGCACUCCACGGUUUAGGUUCUAGGGGGCGCCAAAGAUAACCCAAAAAUCCACAUUCUUAAUAGUCUUAUAACUUUUUAUUUUUGUCCUCACUGGCCUCCAAGUUUUCUAGGAUGAUGCAAUGUCCAGCCAUCAACACAUUUGUAAAGGAAUUUUUACUCCCGAAAAGGGCGCCCCCCCAUGGCAGGAGAAAAAAGUCAAUUUUUUCUUGUCCCCUAAGGUGAAAAAACACAUUGUUGACUGUCACGCCUAUACGCUUUGUCAAAAUGACACAAAAUUUGACACACACGUGUAUCUCAAUAAGAUCUACGAAAAAGUCAAUGGGCACGUAUCUGUAAAAUGUACGGUUAAAGGGCUAUUUCGCAUUUUUUGCCGAUUCGCACACAUUGGAAUGUGGCUAACUCCUCCUAAGGCUUUCUUCCCACCGACACCAAAUUUGCUCAAGCCAAUCUACAUCCCAUGGCCAUUCAAAGUUGUAAAAAUCAUGCCGCUGCACCCCAUGGUUUACGUUCUAGGGGGCGCCAAAGAUGACCCAAAUAUCCACAUUCUUAAAAGAAUCCACAUCCCCCCCCCCCCAAGGCAGGAGAAAAAGUCCAGUUAACCCUGCCCAUCGCUCAAUGGCUCAAUCGCAUCGCUCUCCCGGCAACACCAUAAGGAGGAGCAACUUGCCAUUUGGAUAUAUCCUAGCUGUGUUUGUGCCCUCACUCAUGGUCCAGACUUUUUUCAAAUAGGACAUGUAGUUUGUCUGCAGCGACCGUUUUGGUAGAAACUGCGCCUCCCAUUCAUUAUAAUGGGAAAUGACCACAGACAAGUGCGCACACCAUUUUUGGACCUUGAGUGUAAUGCAAUCGGGAGGGGGAGGCGGUCGCGCUGGGGGCGGCGCGACGCGGCUCGGGCCCGACAGUGCCCCACCGGGGCCCUAGUUAUUUUUGUCCUCACUGGCCUCCAAGUUUUCUAGGAUGAUGCAAUGUCCAGCCAUCAACACAUUUGUGAAGGAAUUUUUACUCCCCAAAAGAGCCCCCCCCCCAUGGCAGGAGAAAAAAGUCAAUUUUUUCUUGUCCCCUAAGGUGGAAAUUCACACUAUUGACUGUCACGCCUGUACGCUUUAUCAUAUUGACACAAAAAUUGACACACAUAUGUAUCUCAAUAAGAUCUACAAAAAAGUCAAUGCGCGCGUAUCUGUCAAAUGUACGGUUAAAGGGCUAUUUUGCAUUUUUUGCCGAUUCGCACACAUUGGAAUGUGGCUAACUCCUCCUAAGGCUUUCGUCCCACUGACACCAAAUUUGCUCAGGCCAAUCUACACCCCAUGGCCAUUCAAAGUUGUAAAAAUCAUGACGCUGCACCCCACGGUUUACGUUCUAGGGGGCGCCAAAGAUGACCCAAAUAUCCAAAUUCUUAAAAGAAUCCACAUCCCCCCCCCAUCCCCCACCCCCCAUGGCAGGAGAAACAGUCAAGUUUUUCCUGCCCAUCACUCAAUGGCUCAAUCGCAUCGCUCUCCCGGCAACACCGUAACGAGGAGCAACUUGCCGUUUGGAUAUAUCCUAGCUGUGUUUGUGCCCUCACUCAUGGUCCAGACUUUUUUCAAAUAGGACAUGUAGUUUGUCUGCAGCGAGUGUUUUGGUAGAAACUGCGCCUCCCAUUCAUUAUAAUGGGAAAUGACCACAGACAAGUGCGCACACCAUCUUUGGACCUUGAGUGUGACGCGAUCGGGACAGUGCCCCACCGGGGCCCUAGUUAUUAUUUUUCCUCCGCUUUAAACUGGAAAAUGGCCCACUUCCCACUGGCGAAAACUCAGGAAAUUUGGCAGGACGACCGGGCCUGGUGAAAAAUUCGAUAUUCUGAAGUCGCCCAAACAAUAAAAUGCAAAAUGGCUCCAUAGCGCCCCCUAAGGUGAAAAUUCACAUGACGGCUGUACGCUUUGUCAUAUUGACACAAAAAUUGACACACACAUGUAUCUCAAUAAGAUCUACAAAAAAGUCAGUGCGGGCGUAUCUGUCAAAUGUACGGUUAAUGGGUUAUUUUGCAUUUUUUGCAGAUCUGCACACAUUGGAAUUUCGCUAACUCCUCCGAAGGCUUUCGUUCGACCGGCACCACAUUUGCGCAGGCCAAUCUACCCCCCAUGGCCAUUAAAAGUUGUACAAAUCAUGACGCAAAUGACACAAGUCUUAUAACGUUCUAGGGGGCGCCAAAGAUAACCCAAAAUCCACAUUCUUAAAAGUCUUAUAACUUUUUAUUUUUGUCCUCACUGCCCUCCAAGUUUUCUAGGAUGAUGCAAUGUCCAGCCAUCAACACAUUUGUGAAGGAAUUUUUACUCCCCAAAAGAGCGCCCCCCAUGGCAGGAGAAAAAAGUCAAUUUUUUCUUGUCCCCUUACAUGAAAAUACACAUUGUUGAGUGUCACGCCUGAACGCUUUGUCAUAUUGACACAAAAAUUGACAAUCAUGUGUAUCUCAAUUAGAUCUACGAAAAAGUCAAAAAGCGCGUAUCUGUAUAAUGUACGGUUAAAGGGCUAUUUCGCAUUUUUUGCCGAUUCGCACACAUUGGAAUGUGGCUAUCUCCUCCUAAGGCUUUCGUCCCAUCGGCACCAAAUUUGCUCAAGCCGAUCUACAUCCCAUGGCCAUUCAAAGUUGUAAAAAUCAUGACGCUGCACCCCACGGUUUACGUUCUAGGGGGCACCAAAGAUGACCCAAAAAUCCACAUUCUUAAAAGUCAUUUUGGCCACUGCAGGAGUACAGAGUACUGCAGUUCUAGGGGGCGCCAAAGAUGACACAAAAAUCCACAUUCUUAAAAGUCUUUUUGGCCACUGCAGGAGUACAGAGUACUGCAGGAUACACACACAUAUACACACACACACACACACACACACACACACACACACACACACACACACACACACACACUCAGAGUCUGUUUUUUAGCACCUGCAAAAACAUGCUGUUUACAUAUUUGACAAGAAUGCAGAGGCUUCCUUUUGCCCCUGAAAAAAAUCAGAUUUCAAACACAACUUGACUGUUCAUUUCUCCAAAAGACAACCAUGAAGCUCCAUCCAAACCUGAAGCAGAUAGUUGGUGCAUGUGUACAGUAACCUGAGGGGAGUGAGGUGACUAUUUCUGAGGAGAACAUGAGCAGUGAAGAUUCACCUUGGAGCUAGAACAGGGACGUGCACAUGAUUAUACAGGGGCAGGGGCUCAAGUUUUUUCCAGUCAUUUAUACAAUAUGGAAAUUAAUGUGAAAUUAAAACACAAAUAUGUGUGAUGAACUGUUUUUAAAACUUAAACUUCAAAUAAAAAUUGUAAACUUCAAAACAUAUGCAAAUUUUUAACAAAGAACAUAGUUAUUUACCUCUAUUUACAUCAAAAUGCAGGCAAUGGCCCAGGCGUUCUUUGUAAAAUUAUUUACAAAACACUGUAUAGUCUCACAAAUGUCACUUUUUAUUUAUGCCACUACAAAAAAACAUGAUGUAAAUGAUGCAUGAUGUAAAACAUGAUGUAAAAAACUUGUGUAGAUCCUCCUCUAUGUCAGUCCAUGUGUAAUUUUUCCAUAAUUCUUUGUUUUUUGCAGCAUUUUUGUUAGUGUAACUGCAGAUUGUGCUGACAGUCUAUGGCAAAAAAAAACCAAAAACUGAAAAUGCCUCAACAUGAACCCCUGGUGGUCUCUGAGGGUGAAACCUGCUAACUGCUGCAGCUCUGUCAGCUUCAGUCUCCCAUGCAGAGCUCGGAGCGCAUGUGUGGCUCUGCACCCUUAGCAGCGUUGCUAACUCCUCAGUAAGGAAAGCCUGCUUCAUGUCAGAGUCUCUAAACUCCAGAAGAAGUCGAUAAAAGUCACUUUCUUUCUAAAAAAAAAGUCGUUAGGGGGUCUGAAAAGUCAUUGAAUCUAACAACAAAGUCGCUAGGUUUGCAACUACGUGUCCCAGACUGCAUCCCUGCUGAGAGUCCCUUCCUCCCUUCUCAUAUUGCAGGAAGAACGUAAGCGCCCGCCCCUUGUCAAUCAGUCACCAUAUAAUUUUGGAUUGGUUGUUGUGGUGAAGUUUUCCACCAAUAGGAGAGAUGUUGUGGUGUGUUUUUUUUUUCCUUUGGCAAGCCUUUUCCGCCUGUAAGACCUGUCGCUAAUGUCUGCAUGCUAUGUUUUCCUGUCGCAUACAGCGCGAUCGAGCGCCGAACGUGAUCAAAAUAAGCAGAAAACAAGUAUCGCGGGCAUAAUUUAUCAUAACUCUGGUUUUAUUUGGCCUAUCAACACAAUUUAAAAACUGGUAUAUAGGUUGAGGUCCUCACUUUUGAGAUAAGUUGAAACAGAGUCAACAAGGCUCCGUCUUGCAGCUACAUCCGGUUAAAUAUGUCAUGUGACUUGAACGCACACACACACACACACACACACACACAGACACACACACACACACACGCACACACACACACUCAGAGUCUGGUUUUUAGCACCUGCAAAAACAUGCUAUUUACAUAUUUGACAAGAAUGCAGAGGCUCCUUUUGCCCCUGAAAAAAAUCAAAUUUCAAACACAACUUGACUGGUCAUUUCUCCAAAAGACAACCAUGAAGCUCCAUCCAAACCUGAAGCAGGCAGUUGGUGCAUGUGUACAGUAACCUGAGGGGAGUGAGGUGACUGCUUCUGAGGAGAACAUGAGCAGUGAAGAUUCACCUUGGAGCUAGAACAGAGACAUGCACAUGAUUAUACAGGGGCAGGGGCUCAAGUUUUUUCCAGUCAUUUAUACAAUAUUGAAAUUAAUGUGAAAUUAAAAAACAAGUAUUAAUAGAAAGGUUAUGACUGUCCUGUGUAGAUGACAGUGAUAUCCAAUAGGCUAGGCACUCACGAGGCUGGCUGUGGCAAGUGUAAGUGAAAGCAACACGCACUGGCAGGAAGAACAGCAAACGCCGAUGAAGGAAAAGGGUCUUUGCAGUGAUGGGCGUUACCAGAGAGGGCGAUGGCCAGAGGACACAAAUGGGACGGGGAGGCAGCGCGUUGGGGGGGGGGCGCGACACAGCUCGGGCCCGCCAGUGCCCCAACGGGGUCCUAGUCUUUGUUUCUUUUUUCUUUUUCCUCCCCUUUGAACUGGAAAAUGGCCCACUUCCCACUGGCGAAAACUCAUGAAAUUUGGCAGGACGACCGGGCCUGGUGAAAAAUUUGAUAUUCUGAAGUCGCCCAAACAAUACAAUGCAAAAUGGCUCCAUAGCGCCCCCUAAGGUGAAAAAUUCACCUGACGCCUGUACGCUUUGUCAAAAUGACACAAAAAUUGACACACACAUGUAUCUCAAUAAGAUCUACAAAAAAGUCAGUGCGGGCGUAUCUGUCAAAUGUACGGUUAAAGGGUUAUUGCGCAUUUUUUGCCGAUCCGCACACAUUGGAAUUUCGCUAACUCCUCCGAAGGCUUUCGUUCCACCGGCACCACAUUUGCUCAGGCCAAUCUACACCCCAUGGCCAUUAAAAGUUAUUCAAAUCAUGACGCUGCACCCCACGGUUUAGGUUCUAGGGGGCGCCAAAGAUAACCCUAAAAUCCACAUAUUUCAAAGUCUUAUAACUUUUUAUUUUUGCCCUCACUGGCCUCCAAGUUUUCUAGGAUGAUGCAAUGUCCAGCCAUCAACACAUUUGUGAAGGAAUUUUUACUCCCCAAAAGAGCGCCCCCCAUGGCAGGAGAAAAAAGUCCAUUUUUUCUUGUCCCAUAAGGUGAAAAUUCACACUAUUGACUGUCACGCCUGUACGCUUUGUCAAAAUUACACAAAAAUUGACACACACAUGUAUCUCAAUAAGAUCUACAAAAAAGUCAGGGCGGGCGUAUCUGUCAAAUGUACGGUUAAAGGGUUAUUGCGCAUUUUUUGCCGAUCCGCACACAUUGGAAUUUCGCUAACUCCUCCGAAGGCUUUCGUUCCACCGGCACCACAUUUGCUCAGGCCAAUCUACACCCCAUGGCCAUUAAAAGUUAUUCAAAUCAUGACGCUGCACCCCACGGUUUAGGUUCUAGGGGGCGCCAAAGAUAACCCUAAAAUCCACAUAUUUAAAAGUCUUAUAACUUUUUAUUUUUGUCCUCUCUGGCCUCCAAGUUUUCUAGGAUGAUGCAAUGUCCAGCCAUCAACACAUUUGUGAAGGAAUUUUUACUCCCUAAAAGAGCGCCCCCCCAUGGCAGGAGAAAAAAGUCCAUUUUUUCUUGUCCCAUAAGGUGAAAAUACACAUUGUUGACUGUCAUACCUGUAUGCUUUGUCAUAUUGACACAAAAUUUGACACACACAUGUAUCUCAAUAAGAUCUACGAAAAAGUCAAUGCGCGCGUAUCUGUAAAAUGUACGGUUAAAGGGCUAUUUUGCAUUUUUUGCCGAUUCGCACACAUUGGAAUGUGGCUAACUCCUCCUAAGGCUUUCGUCCCACUGAUACCAAAUUUGCUCAGGCCAAUCUACACCCCAUGGCCAUUCAAAGUUGUAAAAAUCAUGACGCUGCACCCCACGGUUUACGUUCUAGGGGGCGCCAAAGAUGACCCAAAUAUCCACAUUCUUAAAAGAAUCCACAUCCCCCCCCCCAUCCCCCAUCCCCCAUCCCCCAUCCCCCAUGGCAUGAGAAACAGUCAAGUUUUUCCUGCCCAUCACUCAAUGGCUCAAUCGCAUCGCUCUCCCGGCAACACCGUAACGAGGAGCAACUUGCCGUUUGGAUAUAUCCUAGCUGUGUUUGUGCCCUCACUCAUGGUCCAGACUUUUUUCAAAUAGGACAUGUAGUUUGUCUGCAGCGAGUGUUUUGGUAGAAACUGCGCCUCCCAUUCAUUAUAAUGGGAAAUGACCACAGACAAGUGCGCACACCAUCUUUGGACCUUGAGUGUGACGCGAUCGGGAGGGGGAGGCGGUCGCACUGGGGGCGGCGCAACGCGGCUCGGGCCCGCCAGUGCCCCAACGGGGCCCUAGUUAUUAGGGCCCGAGCGUAGCUGCUAAGCAGCUGCGAGAGCCCUCUUGUUCCUGAUGGAUUCUUCUUUCGUUAUUUUUCCUCCGCUUUAAACUGGAAAAUGGCCCACUUCCCACUGGCGAAAACUCAUGAAAUUUGGCAGGAAGACCGGGCCUGGUGAAAAAUUCGAUAUUCUGAAGUCGCCCAAACAAUACAAUGCAAAAUGGCUCCAUAGCGCCCCCUAAGGUGAAAAUUCACAUGCGGGCUGUACGCUUUGUCAAAAUGACACAAAAAUUGACACACACAUGUAUCUCAAUAAGAUCUACAAAAAAGUCAGUGCGGGCGUAUCUGUCAAAUGUACGGUUAAAGGGUUAUUUCGCAUUUUUUGCAGAUCUGCACACAUUGGAAUUUCGCUAACUCCUCCGAAGGCUUUCGUUCCACCGGCACCACAUUUGCGCAGGCCAAUCUACCCCCCAUGGCCAUUAAAAGUUGUACAAAUCAUCUUGCUGCACCCCACGGUUUAGGUUCUAGGGGGCGCCAAAGAUAACCCAAAAAUCCAAAGUGUUAAAAGUCUUAUAACUUUUUAUUUUUCUCCAAACUGGCCUCCAAGUUUUCUAGGAUGAUGCAAUGUCCAGCCAUCAACACAUCUGUGAACAAAUUUUUACUCCCCAAAAGAGCGCCCCCCCAUGGCAGGAGAAAAAAGUCCAUUUUUUCUUGUCCCGUAAGGUGAAAAUACACAUUUUUGAGUGUCACCCCUGUACCCUUUGUCAUAUUGACACAAAAUUUGACACACACAUGUAUCUCAAUAAGAUCUACGAAAAAGUCAAUGCGCGCGUAUCUGUCAAAUGUACGGUUAAAGGGUUAUUCCGCAUUUUUUGCCGAUCCGCACACAUUGGAAUUUCGCUAACUCCUCCGAAGGCUUUCGUUCCACCGGCACCACAUUUGCUCAGGCCAAUCUACACCCCAUGGCCAUUAAAAGUUAUUCAAAUCAUGACGCUGCACCCCACGGUUUAGGUUCUAGGGGGAGCCAAAGAUAACCGUAAAAUCCACAUAUUUAAAAGUCUUAUCACUUUUUAUUUUUGUCCCCACUGGCCUCCAAGUUUUCUAGGAUGAUGCAAUGUCCAGCCAUCAACACAUUUGUGAAGGAAUUUUUACUCGGCAAAAGAGCGCCCCCCCAUGGCAGGAGAAAAAAGUCAAUUUUUUCUUGUCCACUAAGGUGAAAAUACACAUUGUUGAGUGCUACGCCUGUAUGUUUUGUCGUAUUGACACAAAAUUUUACAUACACGUGUAUUUCAAUAAGAUCUUCAAAAAAGUCAAUGGCCACGUAUCUGUAAAAUGUACGGUUAAAGGGUUAUUUCGCAUUUUUUGCAGAUUCGCACACAUUGGAAUUUCGCUAAUUCCUCCGAAGGCUUUCGUUCCACCGGCACCACAUUUGCUCAGGCCAAUCUACACCCCAUGGCCAUUAAAAGUUAUUCAAAUCAUGACGCUGCACCCCACGGUUUAGGUUCUAGGGGGCGCCAAAUAUAACCCUAAAAUCCACAUAUUUAAAAGUCUUAUAACUUUUUAUUUUUGUCCUCACUGGCCUCCAUGUUUUCUAGGAUGAUGCAAUGUCCAGCCAUCAACACAUUUGUGAAGGAGUUUUUCUCUUUAAAAGAGCGCCCCCCCAUGGCAGGAGAAUAAAGUCAAGUUUUUCCUGUUCAUCAUUCAAUGGCUCAAACGCACUGCUCUCUCGGCAAAAGCGAAAGGAGGAGCAACUUGCCAUUUGGAUAUAUCUUAGCUGUGUUUGUGCCCUCACUCAUGGUCCAGACUUUUUUCAAAUAGGACAUGGAGUUUUUCUGCAGCGAGCGUUUUGGUAGAAACUGCGCCUCCCGUUCAUUAUAAUGGUAAAUGACCACAAACAAGUGCGCACACCAUCUUUGGACCUUGAGUGUGACGCGAUCGGGUGGGGGAGGCGGUCGCGCUGGGGGCGGCGUGACACGGCUCGGGCCCGCCAGUGCCCCAACGGGGCCCUAGUGUUAUUAGGGCCCGAGCGUAGCUGCUAAGCAGCUGCGAGAGCCCUCUUGUUAGGGCCCGAGCGCAGCUGCUAAGCAGCUGCGAGAGCCCUAUUAUUCCCCAAGAGGUUUUUCUUUGUUUCUUUCUUUCUUCUUUUUCCUCCCCUUUGAACUGGAAAAUGGCCCACUUCCCACUGGCGAAAACUCAUGAAAUUUGGCAGGAUGACCGGGCCUGGUGAAAAAUUUGAUAUUCCGAAGUCGCCCAAACAAGAAAAUGCAAAAUGGCUCCAUAGCGCCCCCUAAGGUGAAAAUUCACACUAUUGACUGUCACGCCUUUACGCUUUGUCAAAAUGACACAAAAAUUGACACACAUAUGUAUCUCAAUAAGAUCUACAAAAAAGUCAGUGCGGGCGUAUCUGUCAAAUGUACGGUUAAAGGGUUAUUCCGCAUUUUUUGCCGAUCCGCACACAUUGGAAUUUCGCUAACUCCUCCGAAGGCUUUCUUUCCACCGGCACCACAUUUGCUCAGGCCAAUCUACACCCCAUGGCCAUUAAAAGUUAUUCAAAUCAUGACGCUGCACCCCACGGUUUAGGUUCUAGGGGGCGCCAAAGAUAACCCUAAAAUCCACAUAUUUCAAAGUCUUAUAACUUUUUAUUUUUGUCCUCACUGGCCUCCAAGUUUUCUAGGAUAAUGCAAUGUCCAGCCAUCAACACAUUUGUGAAGGAAUUUUUACUCCCCAAAAGAGCGCCCCCCCAUGGCAGGAGAAAAAAGUCCAUUUUUUCUUGUCCCGUAAGGUGAAAAUUCACAUUGUUGAGUGUGACACCUGUACGCUUUGUCAUAUUGACACAAAAUUUGACAAUCACGUGUAUCUCAAUAAGAUCUACGAAAAAGUCAAUGAGUGCGUAUCUGUCAAAUGUACGGUUAGAGGGCUAUUUUGCAUUUUUUGCCGAUUCGCACACAUUGGAAUGUGGCUAACUCCUCCUAAGGCUUUCGUCCCACUGACACCAAAUUUGCUCAGGCCAAUCUACACCCCAUGGCCAUUCAAAGUUGUAAAAAUCAUGACGCUGCACCCCACGGUUUACGUUCUAGGGGGCGCCAAAGAUGACCAAAAAAUCCACAUUCUUAAAAGAAUCCACAUUCUUAAAAGAAUCCCCCAUGGCAGGAGAAAAAGUCAAGUUUUUCCUGCCCAUCGCUCAAUGGCUCAAUCGCAUCGCUCUCCAGGCAACACCGUAAGGAGGAGCAACCUGCCAUUUGGAUAUAUCCCAGCUGUGUUUGUGCCCUCACUCAUGGUCCAGACUUUUUUCAAAUAGGACAUGAAGUUUGUCUGCAGCGAGUGUUUUGGUAGAAACUGCGCCUCCCAUUCAUUAUAAUGGGAAAUGACCACAGACAAGUGCGCACACCAUCUUUGGACCUUGAGUGUGACGCGAUCGGGAGGGGUAGGCGGUCACGCUGGGGGCGGCACGACGCGGCUCGGGCCCGACAGUGCCCCACCGGGGCCCUAGUUUCUUCUUUUUCCUCCCCUUUGAACUGGAAAAUGGCCCACUUCCCACUGGCGAAAACUCAUGAAAUUUGGCAGGACGACCGGGCCUGGUGAAAAAUUCGAUAUUCUGAAGUCGCCCAAACAAUAAAAUGCAAAAUGGCUCCAUAGCGCCCCCUAAGGUGGAAAUUCACACUAUUGACUGUCACGCCUGUACGCUUUGUCAAAAUGACACAAAAAUUGACACACAUAUGUAUCUCAAUAAGAUCUACAAAAAAGUCAGUGCGGCCGUAUCUGUCAAAAUUACGGUUAAAGGGUUAUUUCGCAUUUUUUGCCGAUCCGCACACAUUGGAAUUUCGCUAACUCCUCCAAAGGCUUUCGUUCCACCGGCACCACAUUUGCUCAGGCCAAUCUACACCCCGUGGCCAUUAAAAGUUAUCAAAAUCAUGACGCUGCACCCCAAGGUUUAGGUUCUAGGGGGCGCCAAAGAUAACCCUAAAAUCCACAUUUUUAAAAGUCUUAUAACUUUUUAUUUUUGUCCUCACUGGCCUCCAAGUUUUCUAGGAUGAUGCAAUGUCCAGCCAUCAACACAUUUGUGAAGGAAUUUUUACUCCCCAAAAGAGCGCCCCCCCAUGGCAGGAGAAAAAAGUCCAUUUUUUCUUGUCCCCUAAGGUGAAAAUACACAUUGUUGAGUGUCACGCCUAUACGCUUUGUCAAAAUGACACAAAAAUUGACACACACAUGUAACUCAAUAAGAUCUACAAAAAAGUCAGUGCGCGCGUAUCUGUCAAAUGUACAGUUAAAGGGUUAUUCCGCAUUUUUUGCCGAUACGCACACAUUGGAAUUUCGCUAACUCCUCCGAAGGCUUUCGUUCCACCGGCACCACAUUUGCUCAGGCCAAUCUACACCCCAUGGCCAUUAAAAGUUAUUCAAAUCAUGAUGCUGCACCCCAUGGUUUAGGUUCUAGGGGGCGCCAAAGAUAACCCAAAAAUCCACAUUCUUAAAUGUUUUAUAACUUUUUAUUUCUGUCCUCACUGGCCUCCAAGUUUUCUAGGAUGAUGCAAUGUCCAGCCAUCAACACAUUUGUGAAGGAAUUUUUACUCCCCAAAAGAGCGCCCCCCCAUGGUAGGAGAAAAAAGGCAAUUUUUUCUUGUCCCCUUACAUAAAAAGACACAUUGUUGAGUGUCACGCCUGAACGCUUUGUCAUAUUGACACAAAAUUUGACAAUCAUGUGUAUCUCAAUUAGAUCUACGAAAAAGUCAAAGAGCGCAUAUCUGUAUAAUGUACGGUUAAAGGGCUAUUUUGCAUUUUUUGCCGAUUCGCACACAUUGGAAUGUGGCUAUCUCCUCCUAAGGCUUUCGUCCCACCGAUACCAAAUUUGCUCAGGGCUAUCUACACCCCAUGCCCAUUCAAAGUUGUAAAAAUCAUGACGCUGCACCCCACGGUUUACGUUCUAGGGGGCGCCAAAGAUGACCCAAAAAUCCACAUUCUUAAAAGUCAUUUUGGCCACUGCAGGAGUACAGAGUACUGCAGUUCUAGGGGGCGCCAAAGAUGACCCAAAAAUCCACAUUCUUAAAAGUCUUUUUGGCCACUGCAGGAGUACAGAGUACUGCAGGAUACACACACAUAUACACACACGCCAACAUACACACACACACACACACAGACACACACACACAAUCAGAGUCUGUUUUUUAGCACCUGCAAAAACAUGCUGUUUACAUAUUUGACAAGAAUGCAGAGGCUUCCUUUUGCCCCUGAAAAAAAUCAAAUUUCAAACACAACUUGACUGUUCAUUUCUCCAAAAGACAACCAUGAAGCUCCAUUUCAAACCUGAAGCAGAUAGUUGGUGCAUGUGUACAGUAACCUGAGGGGAGUGAGGUGACUAUUUCUGAGGAGAACAUGAGCAGUGAAGAUUCACCUUGGAGCUAGAACAGGGACGUGCACAUGAUUAUACAGGGGCAGGGGCUCAAGUUUUUUCCAGUCAUUUAUACAAUAUGGAAAUUAAUGUGAAAUUAAACCACAAAUAUGUGUGAUGAACUGUUUUUAAAACUUAAACUUCAAAUAAAAAUUGUAAACUUCAAAACAUAUGCAAAUUUUUAACAAAGAACAUAGUAAUUUACCUCUAUUUACAUCAAAAUGCAGGCAAUGGCCCAGGCGUUCUUUGUAAAAUUAUUUACAAAACACUGUAUAGUCUCACAAAUGUCACUUUUUAUUUAUGCCACUACAAAAAAACAUGAUGUAAAUGAUGCAUGAUGUAAAACAUGAUGUAAAAAACUUGUGUAGAUCCUCCUCUAUGUCAGUCCAUGUGUAAUUUUUCCAUAAUUCUUUGUUUUUUGCAGCAUUUUUGUUAGUGUAACUGCAGAUUGUGCUGACAGUGUCUAUGGCACAAAAAAAAAAAAAAAAUUUUUAAUGCCUCAACAUGAACCCGUGGUGGUCUCUGAGGGUGAAACCUGCUAACUGCUGCAGCUCUGUCAGCUUCAGUCUCCCAUGCAGAGCUCUGAGCGCAUGUGUGGCUCUGCACCCUUAGCAGCGUUGCUAACUCCUCAGUAUGGAAAGCCUGCUUCAUGUCAGAGUCUCUAAACUCCAGAAGAAGUCGAUAAAAGUCCCUUUCUUUCUAAAAAAAAGUCGUUAGGGGGUCUGAAAAGUCAUUGAAUCUAACAACAAAGUCGCUAGGUUUGCAACUACGUGUCCCAGACUGCAUCCCUGCUGAGAGUCCCUCCCUCCCUUCUCAUGUUGCAGGAAGAACGUAAGCGCCCCCCUUGUCAAUCAGUCACCAUAUAAUUUUGGAUUGGUUGUUGUGGUGAAGUUUUCCACCAAUAGGAGAGAUGUUGUGGUGUGUUUUUUUUUUCUUUUGGCAAGCCUUUUCCGCCUGUAAGAACUGUCGCUAAUGUCUGCAUGCUAUGUUUUCCUGUCUCAUACAGCGCGAUCGAGCGCCGAACGUGAUCAAAAUAAGCAGAAAAAAAAUAUCGCGGACAUAAUUUAUCAUAACUCUGGUUUUAUUUGGCCUAUCAACACAAUUUAAAAACUGGUAUAUAGGUUGAGGUCCUCACUUUUGAGAUAAGUUGAAACGGAGAGUCAACGAGGCUCCGUCUUGCAGCUACAUCCGGUUAAAUAUGUCAUGUGACUUGAACGCACACACAGACACACACACACGCACACACACACACACACACACACACACACACACACACACACACACACACACACACACACACACACACACACACUCAGAGUCUGGUUUUUAGCACCUGCAAAAACAUGCUAUUUACAUAUUUGACAAGAAUGCAGAGGCUCCUUUUGCCCCUGAAAAAAAUCAAAUUUCAAACACAACUUGACUGGUCAUUUCUCCAAAAGACAACCAUGAAGCUCCAUCCAAACCUGAAGCAGGCAGUUGGUGCAUGUGUACAGUAACCUGAGGGGAGUGAGGUGAGUGCUUCUGAGGAGAACAUGAGCAGUGAAGAUUCACCUUGGAGCUAGAACAGAGACAUGCACAUGAUUAUACAGGGGCAGGGGCUCAAGUUUUUUCCAGUCGUUUAUACAAUAUGGAAAUUAAUGUGAAAUUAAAACACAAAGUAUUAAUAGAAAGGUAAUGACUGUCCUGUGUAGGUGACAGUGAUAUCCAAUAGGCUAGGCACUCACGAGGCUGGCUGUGGCAAGUGUAAGUGAAAGCAACACGCACUGGCAGGAAGAACAGCAAACGCCGAUGAAGGAAAAGGGUCUUUGCAGUGAUGGGCGUUACCAGAGAGGGCGAUGGCCAGAGGACACAAAUGGGACGGGGAGGCAGCACGUUGGGGGGGGGGGGGGACGCGACACGGCUCGGGCCCGCCAGUGCCCCAACGGGGUCCUAGUUAGGGCCCGAGCGUAGCUGCUAAGCAGCUGCGAGAGCCCUCUUGUUCCUGCAUGUUUCCUUCUUUAGGGCCCGAGCGUAGCUGCUAAGCAGCUGCGAGAGCCCUCUUGUUCCUGUAGUUUCCUUCUUUAGGGCCCGAGCGUAGCUGCUAAGCAGCUGCGAGAGCCCUCUUGUUCCUGUAGUUUCCUUCUUUUGUUAUUAUUAUUAUUAUUAUUAUUUUUCCUCCCCUUUGAACUGGAAAAUGGCCCACUUCCCACUGGCGAAAACUCAUGAAAUUUGGCAGGACGACCGGGCCUGGUGAAAAAUUUGAUAUUCCGAAGUCGCCCAAACAAGAAAAUGCAAAAUGGCUCCAUAGCGCCCCCUAAGGUGAAAAUUCACACUAUUCACUGUCACGCCUGUACGCUUUGUCAAAAUGACACAAAAAUUGACACACACAUGUAUCUCAAUAAGAUCUACAAAAAAGUCAGUGCGGGCGUAUCUGUCAAAUGUACGGUUAAAGGGUUAUUUCGCAUUUUUUGCCGAUCCGCACACAUUGGAAUUUCGCUAACUCCUCCGAAGGCUUUCGUUCCACCGGCACCACAUUUGCUCAGGCCAAUCUACACCCCAUGGCCAUUAAAAGUUAUUCAAAUCAUGACGCUGCACCCCACGGUUUAGGUUCUAGGGGGCGCCAAAGAUAACCCUAAGAUCCACAUAUUUAAAAGUCUUAUAACUUUUUAUUUUUGCCCUCACUGGCCUCCAAGUUUUCUAGGAUGAUGCAAUGUCCAGCCAUCAACACAUUUGUGAAGGAAUUUUUACUCCCCAAAAGAGCGCCCCCCCAUGGCAGGAGAAAAAAGUCCAUUUUUUCUUGUCCCCUAAGGUGAAAAUACACAUUGUUGAGUGUAACACCUGUACGCUUUGGCAAAAUGACACAAAAAUUGACACACAUAUGUAUCUCAAUAAGAUCUACAAAAAAGUCAAUGCGCGCGUAUCUGUCAAAUGUACGGUUAAAGGGCUAUUUUGCAUUUUUUGCCGAUUCGCACACAUUGGAAUGUGGCUAACUCCUCCUAAGGCUUUCGUCCCACUGACACCAAAUUUGCUCAGGCCAAUCUACACCCCAUGGCCAUUCAAAGUUGUAAAAAUCAUGACGCUGCACCCCACGGUUUACGUUCUAGGGGGCGCCAAAGAUGACCCAAAUAUCCACAUUCUUAAAAGAAUCCACAUCCCCCCCCAUCCCCCACCCCCCAUGGCAGGAGAAACAGUCAAGUUUUUCCUGCCCAUCACUCAAUGGCUCAAUCGCAUCGCUCUCCCGGCAACACCGUAACGAGGAGCAACUUGCCGUUUGGAUAAAUCCUAGCUGUGUUUGUGCCCUCACUCAUGGUCCAGACUUUUUUCAAAUAGGACAUGUAGUUUGUCUGCAGCGAGUGUUUUGGUAGAAACUGCGCCUCCCAUUCAUUAUAAUGGGAAAUGACCACAGACAAGUGCGCACACCAUCUUUGGACCUUGAGUGUGACGCGAUCGGGAGGGGGAGGCGGUCGCGCUAGGGGCGGCGCGACGCGGCUCGGGCCCGACAGUGCCCCACCGGGGCCCUAGUUAUUAUUAUUAUUUUUCCUCCCCUUUGAACUGGAAAAUGGCCCACUUCCCACUGGCGAAAACUCAUGAAAUUUGGCAGGACGACCGGGCCUGGUGAAAAAUUUGAUAUUCCGAAGUCGGCCAAACAAGAAAAUGCAAAAUGGCUCCAUAGCGCCACCUAAGGUGAAAAUUCACACUAUUGACUGUCACGCCUUUACGCUUUGUCAAAAUGACAUAAAAAUUGACACACACAUGUAUCUCAAUAAGAUCUACAAAAAAGUCAGUGCGGGCGUAUCUGUCAAAUGUACGGUUAAAGGGUUAUUUCGCAUUUUUUGCCGAUCCGCACACAUUGCAAUUUCGCUAACUCCUCCGAAGGCUUUCGUUCCACCGGCACCACAUUUGCUCAGGCCAAUCUACACCCCAUGGCCAUUAAAAGUUAUUCAAAUCAUGAUGCUGCACCCCACGGUUUAGGUUCUAGGGGGCGCCAAAGAUAACCCUAAGAUCCACAUAUUUAAAAGUCUUAUAACUUUUUAUUUUUGCCCUCACUGGCCUCCAAGUUUUCUAGGAUGAUGCAAUGUCCAGCCAUCAACACAUUUGUGAAGGAAUUUUUACUCCCCAAAAGAGCGCCCCCCCAUGGCAGGAGAAAAAAGUCCAUUUUUUCUUGUCCCCUAAGGUGAAAAUACACAUUGUUGAGUGUAACACCUGUACGCUUUGGCAAAAUGACACAAAAAUUGACACACACAUGUAUCUCAAUAAGAUCUACAAAAAAGUCAAUGCGCGCGUAUCUUUCAAAUGUACGGUUAAAGGGUUAUUCCGCAUUUUUUGCCGAUCCGCACACAUUGGAAUUUCGCUAACUCCUCCGAAGGCUUUCGUUCCACCGGCACCACAUUUGCUCAGGCCAAUCUACACCCCAUGGCCAUUAAUAGUUAUUCAAAUCAUGACGCUGCACCCCACGGUUUAGGUUCUAGGGGGCGCCAAAGAUAACCGUAAAAUCCACAUAUUUAAAAGUCUUAUAACUUUUUAUUUUUGUCCCCACUGGCCUCCAAGUUUUCUAGGAUGAUGCAAUGUCCAGCCAUCAACACAUUUAUGAAGGAAUUUUUACUCCCCAAAAGAGCGCCCCCCCAUGGCAGGAGAAAAAAGUCCAUUUUUUCUUGUCCACUAAGGUGAAAAUACACAUUGUUGAGUGCUACGCCUGUAUGUUUUGUCGUAUUGACACAAAAUUUUACAUACACGUGUAUUUCAAUAAGAUCUUCGAAAAAGUCAAUGGCCACGUAUCUGUAAAAUGUACGGUUAAAGGGUUAUUUCGCAUUUUUUGCAGAUUCGCACACAUUGGAAUUUCGCUAAAUCCUCCGAAGGCUUUCGUUCCACCGGCACCACAUUUGCUCAGGCCAAUCUACACCCCAUGGCCAUUAAAAGUUAUUCAAAUCAUGACGCUGCACCCCACGGUUUAGGUUCUAGGGGGCGCCAAAGAUAACCCUAAAAUCCACAUAUUUAAAAGUCUUAUAACUUUUUAUUUUUGUCCUCACUGGCCUCCAUGUUUUCUAGGAUGAUGCAAUGUCCAGCCAUCAACACAUUUGUGAAGGAGUUUUUUCUCGUUAAAAGAGCACCCCCCCAUGGCAGGAGAAUAAAGUCAAGUUUUUCCUGUUCAUCAUUCAAUGGCUCAAACGCACUGCUCUCUCGGCAAAAGCGAAAGGAGGAGCAACUUGCCAUUUGGAUAUAUCUUAGCUGUGUUUGUGCCCUCACUCAUGGUCCAGACUUUUUUCAAAUAGGACAUGGAGUUUUUCUGCAGCAAGCGUUUUGGUAGAAACUGCGCCUCCCGUUCAUUAUAAUGGUUAAUGACCACAAACAAGUGCGCACACCAUCUUUGGACCUUGAGUGUGACGCGAUCGGGUGGGGGAGGCGGUUGCGCUGAGGGCGGCGUGACAUGGCUCGGGCCCGCCAGUGCCCCAACGGGGCCCUAGUUUGUUAUUAUUAUUAUUUUUCCUCCCCUUUGAACUGGAAAAUGGCCCACUUCCCACUGGCGAAAACUCAUGAAAUUUGGCAGGACGACCGGGCCUGGUGAAAAAUUUGAUAUUCCGAAGUCGCCCAAACAAGAAAAUGCAAAAUGGCUCCAUAGCGCCCCCUAAGGUGAAAAUUCACACUAUUCACUGUCACGCCUGUACGCUUUGUCAAAAUGACACAAAAAUUGACACACACAUGUAUCUCAAUAAGAUCUACAAAAAAGUCAGUGCGGGCGUAUCUGUCAAAUGUACGGUUAAAGGGUUAUUUCGCAUUUUUUGCCGAUCCGCACACAUUGGAAUUUCGCUAACUCCUCCGAAGGCUUUCGUUCCACCGGCACCACAUUUGCUCAGGCCAAUCUACACCCCAUGGCCAUUAAAAGUUAUUCAAAUCAUGACGCUGCACCCCACGGUUUAGGUUCUAGGGGGCGCCAAAGAUAACCCUAAGAUCCACAUAUUUAAAAGUCUUAUAACUUUUUAUUUUUGCCCUCACUGGCCUCCAAGUUUUCUAGGAUGAUGCAAUGUCCAGCCAUCAACACAUUUGUGAAGGAAUUUUUACUUCCCAAAAGAGCGCCCCCCCAUGGCAGGAGAAAAAAGUCCAUUUUUUCUUGUCCCCUAAGGUGAAAAUACACAUUGUUGAGUGUAACACCUGUACGCUUUGUCAAAAUGACACAAAAAUUGACACACACAUGUAUCUCAAUAAGAUCUACGAAAAAGUCAAUGCGCGCGUAUCUGUCAAAUGUACGGUUAAAGGGUUAUUCCGCAUUUUUUGCCGAUCCGCACACAUUGGAAUUUCGCUAACUCCUCCGAAGGCUUUCGUUCCACCGGCACCACAUUUGCUCAGGCCAAUCUACACCCCAUGGCCAUUAAAAGUUAUUCAAAUCAUGAUGCUGCACCCCAUGGUUUAGGUUCUAGGGGGCGCCAAAAAUAACCCAAAAAUCCACAUUCUUAAAUGUUUUAUAACUUUUUAUUUUUGUCCUCACUGGCCUCCAAGUUUUCUAGGAUGAUGCAAUGUCCAGCCAUCAACACAUUUGUGAAGGAAUUUUUACUCCCCAAAAGAGCGCCCCCCCAUGGCAGGAGAAAAAAGUCAAUUUUUUCUUGUCCCCUUACAUAAAAAUACACAUUGUUGAGUGUCACGCCUGAACGCUUUGUCAAAAUGACACAAAAAUUGACAAUCAUGUGUAUCUCAAUUAGAUCUACGAAAAAGUCAAAGAGCGCGUAUCUGUAUAAUGUACGGUUAAAGGGCUAUUUUGCAUUUUUUGCCGAUUCGCACACAUUGGAAUGUGGCUAUCUCCUCCUAAGGCUUUCGUCCCACCGAUACCAAAUUUGCUCAGGGCAAUCUACACCCCAUGCCCAUUCAAAGUUGUAAAAAUCAUGACGCUGCACCCCACGGUUUACGUUCUAGGGGGCGCCAAAGAUGACCCAAAAAUCCACAUUCUUAAAAGUCAUUUUGGCCACUGCAGGAGUACAGAGUACUGCAGUUCUAGGGGGCGCCAAAGAUGACCCAAAAAUCCACAUUCUUAAAAGUCUUUUUGGCCACUGCAGGAGUACAGAGUACUGCAGGAUACACACACAUAUACACACACGCCAACAUACACACACACACACACACACACACACACACACACACACACACACACACACACACACACACACUCAGAGUCUGUUUUUUAGCACCUGCAAAAACAUGCUAUUUACAUAUUUGACAAGAAUGCAGAGGCUCCUUUUGCCCCUGAAAAAAAUCAAAUUUCAAACACAACUUGACUGGUCAUUUCUCCAAAAGACAACCAUGAAGCUCCAUCCAAACCUGAAGCAGGCAGUUGGUGCAUGUGUACAGUAACCUGAGGGGAGUGAGGUGAGUGCUUCUGAGGAGAACAUGAGCAGUGAAGAUUCACCUUGGAGCUAGAACAGAGACAUGCACAUGAUUAUACAGGGGCAGGGGCUCAAGUUUUUUCCAGUCGUUUAUACAAUAUGGAAAUUAAUGUGAAAUUAAAACACAAAGUAUUAAUAGAAAGGUAAUGACUGUCCUGUGUAGGCGACAGUGAUAUCGAAUAGGCUAGGCACUCACGAGGCUGGCUGUGGCAAGUGUAAGUGAAAGCAACACGCACUGGCAGGAAGAACAGCAAACGCCGAUGAAGGAAAAGGGUCUUUGCAGUGAUGGGCGUUACCAGAGAGGGCGAUGGCCAGAGGACACAAAUGGGACGGGGAGGCAGCGCGUUGGGGGGGGGGACACGGCUCGGGCCCGCCAGUGCCCCAACGGGGUCCUAGUUUGUUAUUAUUAUUAUUAUUAUUAUUUUUCCUCCCCUUUGAACUGGAAAAUGGCCCACUUCCCACUGGCGAAAACUCAUGAAAUUUGGCAGGACGACCGGGCCUGGUGAAAAAUUUGAUAUUCUGAAGUCGCCCAAACAAUAAAAUGCAAAAUGGCUCCAUAGCGCCCCCUAAGGUGGAAAUUCACACUAUUGACUGUCACGCCUGUACGCUUUGUCAAAAUGACACAAAAUUUGACACACAUAUGUAUCUCAAUAAGAUCUACAAAAAAGUCAGUGCGGGCGUAUCUGUCAAAUGUACGGUUAAAGGGCUAUUUCGCAUUUUUUGGCGAUCCGUACACAUUGGAAUUUCGCUAACUCCUCCGAAGGCUUUUGUUCCACCGGCACCACAUUUGCUCAGGCCAAUCUACACCCCAUGGCCAUUAAAAGUUAUUCAAAUCAUGACGCUGCACCCCACGGUUUAGGUUCUAGGGGGCGCCAAAGAUAACCCAAAAAUCCACAUAUUUAAAAGUCUUAUAACUUUUUAUUUUUGUCCUCACUGGCCUCCAAGUUUUCUAGGAUGAUGCAAUGUCCAGCCAUCAACACAUUUGUGAAGGAAUUUUUACUCCCCAAAAGAGCGCCCCCCCAUGGCAGGAGAAAAAAGUCCUUUUUUUCUUGUCCCCUUACAUGAAAAUACACAUUGUUGAGUGUCACGCCUGAACGCUUUGUCAUAUUGACACAAAAAUUGACAAUCAUGUGUAUCUCAAUUAGAUCUACAAAAAAGUCAAAAAGCGCGUAUCUGUAUAAUGUAAGGUUAAAGGGCUAUUUCGCAUUUUUUGCCGAUUCGCACACAUUGGAAUGUGGCUAUCUCCUCCUAAGACUUUCGUCCCACUGAUACCAAAUUUGCUCAGGGCAAUCUACACCCCAUGCCCAUUCAAAGUUGUAAAAAUCAUGACGCUGCACCCCACGGUUUACGUUCUAGGGGGCGCCAAAGAUGACCCAAAAAUCCACAUUCUUAAAAGUCAUUUUGGCCACUGCAGGAGUACAGAGUACUGCAGUUCUAGGGGGCGCCAAAGAUGACCCAAAAAUCCACAUUCUUAAAAGUCUUUUUGGCCACUGCAGGAGUACAGAGUACUGCAGGAUACACACACAUAUAUACACACACACACACACACACACACACACACACACACACACACACACACACACACACACACUCAGAGUCUGUUUUUUAGCACCUGCAAAAACAUGCUGUUUACAUAUUUGACAAGAAUGCAGAGGCUUCCUUUUGCCCCUGAAAAAAAUCAGAUUUCAAACACAACUUGACUGUUCAUUUCUCCAAAAGACAACCAUGAAGCUCCAUCCAAACCUGAAGCAGAUAGUUGGUGCAUGUGUACAGUAACCUGAGGGGAGUGAGGUGACUGCUUCUGAGGAGAACAUGAGCAGUGAAGAUUCACCUUGGAGCUAGAACAGGGACGUGCACAUGAUUAUACAGGGGCAGGGGCUCAAGUUUUUUCCAGUCAUUUAUACAAUAUGGAAAUUAAUGUGAAAUUAAACCACAAAUAUGUGUGAUGAACUGUUUUUAAAACUUAAACUUCAAAUAAAAAUUGUAAACUUCAAAACAUAUGCAAAUUUUUAACAAAGAACAUAAUAAUUUACCUCUAUUUACAUCAAAAUGCAGGCAAUGGCCCAGGCGUUCUUUGUAAAAUUAUUUACAAAAAACUGUAUAGGCUCACAAAUGUCACUUUUUAUUUAUGCCACUACAAAAAAACAUGAUGUAAAUGAUGCAUGAUGUAAAACAUGAUGUAAAAAACUUGUGUAGAUCCUCCUCUAUGUCAGUCCAUGUGUAAUUUUUCCAUAAUUCUUUGUUUUUUGCAGCAUUUUUGUUAGUGUAACUGCAGAUUGUGCUGACAGUCUAUGGCAAAAAAAACAAAAACUGAAAAUGCCUCAACAUGAACCCCUGGUGGUCUCUGAGGGUGAAACCUGCUAACUGCUGCAGCUCUGUCAGCUUCAGUCUCCCAUGCAGAGCUCGGAGCGCAUGUGUGGCUCUGCACCCUUAGCAGCGUUGCUAACUCCUCAGUAAGGAAAGCCUGCUUCAUGUCAGAGUCUCUAAACUCCAGAAGAAGUCGAUAAAAGUCCCUUUCUUUCAAAAAAAAAGUCGUUAGGGGGUCUGAAAAGUAAUUGAAUCUAACAACAAAGUCGCUAGGUUUGCAACUACGUGUCCCAGACUGCAUCCCUGCUGAGAGUCCCUCCCUCCCUUCUCAUGUUGCAGGAAGAACGUAAGCGCCCGCCCCUUGUCAAUCAGUCACCAUAUAAUUUUGGAUUGGUUGUUGUGGUGAAGUUUUCCACCAAUAGGAGAGAUGUUGUGGUGUGUUUUUUUUUUCUUUUGGCAAGCCUUUUCCGCCUGUAAGACCUGUCGCUAAUGUGUGCAUGCUAUGUUUUCCUGUCUCAUACAGCGCGAUCGAGCGCCGAACGUGAUCAAAAUAAGCAGAAAAAAAGUAUCGCGGACAUAAUUUAUCAUAACUCUGGUUUUAUUUGGCCUAUCAACACAAUUUAAAAACUGGUAUAUAGGUUGAGGUCCUCACUUUUGAGAUAAGUUGAAACGGAGAGUUAACGAGGCUCCGUAUUGCAGCUACAUCCGGUUAAAUAUGUCAUGUGGCUUGAACGCUGGGGAGCGUCAAUCGAAUCGAAUCAAACCUAACUCUCAGAUGAAUCUUCAAAAUUCACCUCAGAAAUAUGCUUAUUAUUCUUCUCAGAGUACUGCAGGAUACACACACACACACACACAGACACACACACGCACACACACACACACACACACACACACACACACACACACACUCAGAGUCUGUUUUUUAGCACCUGCAAAAACAUGCUAUUUACAUAUUUGACAAGAAUGCAGAGGCUUCCUUUUGCCCCUGAAAAAAAUCAAAUUUCAAACACAACUUGACUGCUCAUUUCUCCAAAAGACAACCAUGAAGCUCCAUCCAAACCUGAAGCAGGCAGUUGGUGCAUGUGUACAGUAACCUGAGGGGAGUGAGGUGACUGCUUCUGAGGAGAACAUGAGCAGUGAAGAUUCACCUUGGAGCUAGAACAGGGACGUGCACAUGAUAAUACAGGGGCAGGGGCUCAAGUUUUUUCAAGUUGUUUAUACAAUAUGGAAAUUAAUGUGAAAUUAAAAACAAAGUAUUAAUAGAAAGGUAAUGACUGUCCUGUGUAGGUGACAGUGAUAUCCAAUAGGCUAGGCACUCACGAGGCUGGCUGUGGCAAGUGUAAGUGAAAGCAACACGCACUGGCAGGAAGAACAGCAAACGCCGAUGAAGGAAAAGGGUCUUUGCAGUGAUGGGCGUUACCAGAGAGGGCGAUGGCCAGAGGACACGAAUGGGACGGGGAGGCAGCGCGUUGGGGGGGGUGCGACACGGCUCGGGCCCGCCAGUGCCCCAACGGGGCCCUAGUUAUUAUUUUUCCUCCCCUUUGAACUGGAAAAUGGCCCACUUCCCACUGGCGAAAACUCAUGAAAUUUGGCAGGACGACCGGGCCUGGUGAAAAAUUUGAUAUUCCGAAGUCGCCCAAACAAGAAAAUGCAAAAUGGCUCCAUAGCGCCCCCUAAGGUGAAAAUUCACACUAUUCACUGUCACGCCGGUACGCUUUGUCAAAAUGACACACAAAUUGACACACACAUGUAUCUCAAUAAGAUCUACAAAAAAGUCAGUGCGGGCGUAUCUGUCAAAUGUACGGUUAAAGGGUUAUUUCGCAUUUUUUGCCGAUCCGCACACAUUGGAAUUUCGCUAACUCCUCCGAAGGCUUUCGUUCCACCGGCACCACAUUUGCUCAGGCCAAUCUACACCCCAUGGCCAUUAAAAGUUAUUCAAAUCAUGACGCUGCACCCCACGGUUUAGGUUCUAGGGGGCGCCAAAGAUAACCCUAAGAUCCACAUAUUUAAAAGUCUUAUAACUUUUUAUUUUUGCCCUCACUGGCCUCCAAGUUUUCUAGGAUGAUGCAAUGUCCAGCCAUCAACACAUUUGUGAAGGAAUUUUUACUCCCCAAAAGAGCGCCCCCCCAUGGCAGGAGAAAAAAGUCCAUUUUUUCUUGUCCCCUAAGGUGAAAAUACACAUUGUUGAGUGUAACACCUGUACGCUUUGGCAAAAUGACACAAAAAUUGACACACACAUGUAUCUCAAUAAGAUCUACGAAAAAGUCAAUGCGCGCGUAUCUGUCAAAUGUACGGUUAAAGGGUUAUUCCGCAUUUUUUGCCGAUCCGCACACAUUGGAAUUUUGCUAACUCCUCCGAAGGCUUUCGUUCCACCGGCACCACAUUUGCUCAGGCCAAUCUACACCCCAUGGCCAUUAAAAGUUAUUCAAAUCAUGACGCUGCACCCCACGGUUUAGGUUCUAGGGGGAGCCAAAGAUAACCGUAAAAUCCACAUAUUUAAAAGUCUUAGAACUUUUUAUUUUUGUCCCCACUGGCCUCCAAGUUUUCUAGGAUGAUGCAAUGUCCAGCCAUCAACACAUUUGUGAAGGAAUUUUUACUCGGCAAAAGAGCGCCCCCCCAUGGCAGGAGAAAAAAGUCAAUUUUUUCUUGUCCACUAAGGUGAAAAUACACAUUGUUGAGUGCUACGCCUGUAUGUUUUGUCGUAUUGACACAAAAUUUUACAUACACGUGUAUUUACAUAAGAUCUUCGAAAAAGUCAAUGGCCACGUAUCUGUAAAAUGUACGGUUAAAGGGUUAUUUCGCAUUUUUUGCAGAUUCGCACACAUUGGAAUUUCGCUAAUUCCUCCGAAGGCUUUCGUUCCACCGGCACCACAUUUGCUCAGGCCAAUCUACACCCCAUGGCCAUUAAAAGUUAUUCAAAUCAUGACGCUGCACCCCACGGUUUAGGUUCUAGGGGGCGCCAAAGAUAACCCUAAAAUCCACAUAUUUAAAAGUCUUAUAACUUUUUAUUUUUGUCCUCACUGGCCUCCAUGUUUUCUAGGAUGAUGCAAUGUCCAGCCAUCAACACAUUUGUGAAGGAGUUUUUUCUUUUUAAAAGAGCGCCCCCCCAUGGCAGGAGAAUAAAGUCAAGUUUUUCCUGUUCAUCAUUCAAUGGCUCAAACGCACUGCUCUCUCGGCAAAAGCGAAAGGAGGAGCAACUUGCCAUUUGGAUAUAUCUUAGCUGUGUUUGUGCCCUCACUCAUGGUCCAGACUUUUUUCAAAUAGGACAUGGAGUUUUUCUGCAGCGAGCGUUUUGGUAGAAACUGCGCCUCCCGUUCAUUAUAAUGGUAAAUGACCACAAACAAGUGCGCACACCAUCUUUGGACCUUGAGUGUGACGCGAUCGGGUGGGGGAGGCGGUCGCGCUGGGGGCGGCGUGACACGGCUCGGGCCCGCCAGUGCCCCAACGGGGCCCUAGUUCUUCUUCUUAGGGCCCGAGCGUAGCUGCUAAGCAGCUGCGAGAGCCCUCUUGUUCCUGCAUGUUUCCUUCUUUUGUUAUUAUUAUUAUUAUUAUUUUUCCUCCCCUUUGAACUGGAAAAUGGCCCACUUCCCACUGGCGAAAACUCAUGAAAUUUGGCAGGACGACCGGGCCUGGUGAAAAAUUUGAUAUUCUGAAGUCACCCAAACAAGAAAAUGCAAAAUGGCUCCAUAGCGCCCCCUAAGGUUAAAAUUCACACUAUUGACUGUCACGCCUGUAUGUUUUGUCAAAAUGACACAAAAAUUGACACACACAUGUAUCUCAAUAAGAUCUACAAAAAAGUCAGUGCGGGCGUAUCUGUCAAAUGUACGGUUAAAGGGUUAUUUCGCAUUUUUUGCCGAUCCGCACACAUUGCAAUUUCGCUAACUCCUCCGAAGGCUUUCGUUCCACCGGCACCACAUUUGCUCAGGCCAAUCUACACCCCAUGGCCAUUAAAAGUUAUUCAAAUCAUGAUGCUGCACCCCACGGUUUAGGUUCUAGGGGGCGCCAAAGAUAACCCUAAGAUCCACAUAUUUAAAAGUCUUAUAACUUUUUAUUUUUGCCCUCACUGGCCUCCAAGUUUUCUAGGAUGAUGCAAUGUCCAGCCAUCAACACAUUUGUGAAGGAAUUUUUACUCCCCAAAAGAGCGCCCCCCCAUGGCAGGAGAAAAAAGUCCAUUUUUUCUUGUCCCUUAAGGUGAGAAUACACAUUGUUGAGUGUAACACCUGUACGCUUUGGCAAAAUGACACAAAAAUUGACACACACAUGUAUCUCAAUAAGAUCUACGAAAAAGUCAAUGCGCGCGUAUCUGUCAAAUGUACGGUUAAAGGGUUAUUCCGCAUUUUUUGCCGAUCCGCACACAUUGGAAUUUCGCUAACUCCUCCUAAGGCUUUCGUUCCACCGGCACCACAUUUGCUCAGGCCAAUCUACACCCCAUGGCCAUUAAAAGUUAUUCAAAUCAUGACGCUGCACCCCACGGUUUAGGUUCUAGGGGGCGCCAAAGAUAACCGUAAAAUCCACAUAUUUAAAAGUCUUAUAACUUUUUAUUUUUGUCCCCACUGGCCUCCAAGUUUUCUAGGAUGAUGCAAUGUCCAGCCAUCAACACAUUUGUGAAGGAAUUUUUACUCGCCAAAAGAGCGCCCCCCCCAUGGCAGGAGAAAAAAGUCCAUUUUUUCUUGUCCACUAAGGUGAAAAUACACAUUGUUGAGUGCUACGCCUGUAUGUUUUGUCGUAUUGACACAAAAUUUUACAUACACGUGUAUUUCAAUAAGAUCUUCGAAAAAGUCAAUGGCCACGUAUCUGUAAAAUGUACGGUUAAAGGGUUAUUUCGCAUUUUUUGCAGAUUCGCACACAUUGGAAUUUCGCUUAAUCCUCCGAAGGCUUUCGUUCCACCGGCACCACAUUUGCUCAGGCCAAUCUACACCCCAUGGCCAUUAAAAGUUAUUCAAAUCAUGACGCUGCACCCCACGGUUUAGGUUCUAGGGGGCGCCAAAGAUAACCCUAAGAUCCACAUAUUUAAAAGUCUUAUAACUUUUUAUUUUUGUCCUCACUGGCCUCCAUGUUUUCUAGGAUGAUGCAAUGUCCAGCCAUCAACACAUUUGUGAAGGAGUUUUUUCUCGUUAAAAGAGCACCCCCCAUGGCAGGAGAAUAAAGUCAAGUUUUUCCUGUUCAUCAUUCAAUGGCUCAAACGCACUGCUCUCUCGGCAAAAGCGAAAGGAGGAGCAACUUGCCAUUUGGAUAUAUCUUAGCUGUGUUUGUGCCCUCACUCAUGGUCCAGACUUUUUUCAAAUAGGACAUGGAGUUUUUCUGCAGCGAGCGUUUUGGUAGAAACUGCGCCUCCCGUUCAUUAUAAUGGUAAAUGACCACAAACAAGUGCGCACACCAUCUUUGGACCUUGAGUGUGACGCGAUCGGGUGGGGGAGGCGGUCGCGCUGAGGGCGGCGUGACAUGGCUCGGGCCCGCCAGUGCCCCAACGGGGCCCUAGUUCUUAUUAUUAUUUUUCUGCCCCUUUGAACUGGAAAAUGGCCCACUUCCCACUGGUGAAAAGUCAUGAAAUUUGGCAGGACGACCGGGCCUGGUGAAAAAUUCGAUAUUCUGAAGUCGCCCAAAAAAUCAAAUGCAAAAUGGCUCCAUAGCGCCCCCUAAGGUGAAAAAUUCACAUGAUUGAGUGUCACGCCUGUACGCUUUGUCAAAAUGACACAAAAUUUGACACACACGUGUAUCUCAAUAAGAUCUACAAAAAAGUCAGUGCGGGCGUAUCUGUCAGAUGUACGGUUAAAGGGCUAUUUCGCAUUUUUUGCCGAUCCGCACACAUUGGAAUUUCGCUAACUCCUCCGAAGGCUUUCGUUCCACCGGCACCAAAUUUGCUCAGGCCAAUCUACACCCCAUGGCCAUUAAAAGUUGUACAAAUCAUGACGCUGCAUCCCACGGUUUACGUUCUAGGGGGCGCCAAAGAUAACCCAGAAAUCCACAUUCUUAAAAGUCGUAUAACUUUUUAUUUUUGUCCUCACUGGCCUCCAAGUUUUCUAGGAUGAUGCAAUGUCCAGCCAUCAACACAUUUGUGAAGGAAUUUUUACUCCCCAAAAGAGCGCCCCCCAUGGCAGGAGAAAAAAGUCCAUUUUUUCUUGUCUCCUAAGGCGAAAAUUCACACUAUUGACUGUCACGCCUUUACGCUUUGUCAUAUUGACACAAAAAUUGACACACACAUGUAUCUCAAUAAGAUCUACAAAAAAGUCAGUGCGGGCGUAUCUGUCAAAUGUACGGUGAAAGGGCUAUUUCGCAUUUUUUGCCGAUCCGCACACAUUGGAAUUUCGCUAACUCCUCCGAAGGCUUUCGUUCCAAAGGCACCACAUUUGCUGAGGCCAAUCUACACCCCAUGGCCAUUAAAAGUUGUACAAAUCAUGACGCUGCACCCCACGGUUUACGUUCUAGGGGGCGCCAAAGAUAACCCAAAAAUCCACAGUCUUAAAAGUCUUAUAACUUUUUAUUUUUGUCCUCACUGGCCUCCAAGUUCUCUAGGAUGAUGCAAUGUCCAGCCAUCAACACAUUUGUGAAGGAAUUUUUACUCGCCAAAAGAGCGCCCCCCCCCAUGGCAGGAGAAAAAAGUCCAUUUUUUCUUGUCUCCUUAGGCGAAAAUACACAUUGUUGACUGUCACGCCUUUACGCUUUGUCAAAAUGACACAAAAUUUGACACACACAUGUAUCUCAAUAAGAUCUACAAAAAAGUCAGUGCGGGCGUAUCUGUCAAAUGUACGGUUAAAGGGUUAUUUCGCAUUUUUUGCCGAUCCGCACACAUUGGAAUUUCGCUAACUCCUCCGAAGGCUUUCGUUCCAAAGGCACCACAUUUGCUGAGGCCAAUCUACACCCCAUGGCCAUUAAAAGUUGUACAAAUCAUGACGCUGCACCCCACGGUUUACGUUCUAGGGGGCGCCAAAGAUAACCCAAAAAUCCACAGUCUUAAAAGUCUUAUAACUUUUUAUUUUUGUCCUCACUGGCCUCCAAGUUCUCUAGGAUGAUGCAAUGUCCAGCCAUCAACACAUUUGUGAAGGAAUUUUUACUCGCCAAAAGAGCGCCCCCCCCCAUGGCAGGAGAAAAAAGUCCAUUUUUUCUUGUCUCCUUAGGCGAAAAUACACAUUGUUGACUGUCACGCCUUUACGCUUUGUCAAAAUGACACAAAAUUUGACACACACAUGUAUCUCAAUAAGAUCUACAAAAAAGUCAGUGCGGGCGUAUCUGUCAAAUGUACGGUUAAAGGGUUAUUUCGCAUUUUUUGCCGAUCCGCACACAUUGGAAUUUCGCUAACUCCUCCUAAAUCUUUUGUCCCAUCGGCUUCAAAUUUGCUCAGGUCAAUCUACACCCCAUGGCCAUUCAAAGUUGUACAAAUCAUGACGCUGCACCCCACAGUUUACGUUCUAGGGGGCGCCAAAGAGGACCCAAAUAUCCACAUUUUUAAAAGUCUUAUAACUUUUUAUUUUUGUCCUCACUGGCCUCCAGGUUUUCUAGGAUGAUGCAAUGUCCAGCCAUCAACACAUUUGUGAAGGAAUUUUUUCUCCCCAAAAGAGCGCCCCCCCAUGGCAGGAGAAAAAGUCAAGUUUUUCCUGCCCAUCGCUCAAUGGCUCAAACACAUCGCUCUCUCUGCAAAACCGAAAGGAGGAGCAACUUGCCAUUUGGAUAUAUACUAGCUGUGUUUGUGCCCUCACUCAUGGUCCAGACUUUUUUCAAAUAGGACAUGUAGUUUGUCUGCAGCGAGCGUUUUGGUAGAAACUGCGCCUCCCAUUCAUUAUAAUGGUAAAUGACCACAGACAAGUGCGCACACCAUCUUUGGACCUUGAGUGUGACGCGAUCGGGAGGGGGAGGCGGUCGCGCUGGGGGCGGCGCGACGCGGCUCGGGCCCGACAGUGCCCCACCGGGGCCCUAGUUUGUUAUUAUUAGGGCCCGAGCGUAGCUGCUAAGCAGCUGCGAGAGCCCUCUUGUUCCUGAUGGAUUCUUCUUUUGUUAUUAUUAUUAUUAGGGCCCGAGCGUAGCUGCUAAGCAGCUGCGAGAGCCCUCUUGUUCCUGUAGUUUCCUUCUUUUGUUAUUAUUAUUUUUCCUCCCCUUUGAACUGGAAAAUGGCCCACUUCCCACUGGCGAAAACUCAUGAAAUUUGGCAGGACGACCGGGCCUGGUGAAAAAUUUGAUAUUCCGAAGUCGCCCAAACAAGAAAAUGCAAAAUGGCUCCAUAGCGCCCCCUAAGGUGAAAAUUCACACUAUUGACUGUCACGCCUGUACGCUUUGUCAAAAUGACACAAAAAUUGACACACACAUGUAUCUCAAUAAGAUCUACAAAAAAGUCAGUGCGGGCGUAUCUGUCAAAUGUACGGUUAAAGGGUUAUUUCGCAUUUUUUGCCGAUCCGCACACAUUGGAAUUUCGCUAACUCCUCCGAAGGCUUUCGUUCCACCGGCACCACAUUUGCUCAGGCCAAUCUACACCCCAUGGCCAUUAAAAGUUAUUCAAAUCAUGACGCUGCAUCCCACGGUUUAGGUUCUAGGGGGCGCCAAAGAUAACCCUAAAAUCCACAUAUUUAAAAGUCUUAUAACUUUUUAUUUUUGUCCUCACUGGCCUCCAAGUUUUCUAGGAUGAUGCAAUGUCCAGCCAUCAACACAUUUGUGAAGGAAUUUUUACUCCCCAAAAGAGCGCCCCCCAUGGCAGGAAAAAAAAGCCAAUUUUUUCUUGUCCCCUAAGGUGGAAAUUCACACUAUUGACUGUCACGCCUGUACGCUUUAUCAUAUUGACACAAAAAUUGACACACAUAUGUAUCUCAAUAAGAUCUAAAAAAGAGUCGAUUCGCGCGUAUCUGUCAAAUGUACGGUUAAAGGGCUAUUUUGCAUUUUUUGCCGAUUCGCACACAUUGGAAUGUGGCUAACUCCUCCAAAGGCUUUCGUCCCACUGACACCAAAUUUGCUCAGGCCAAUCUACACCCCAUGGCCAUUCAAAGUUGUAAAAAUCAUGACGCUGCACCCCACGGUUUACGUUCUAGGGGGCGCCAAAGAUGACCCAAAAAUCCACAUUCUUCAAAGAAUCCACACCCCCCCCCCCAUAUGGCAGGAGAAAAAGUUAAGUUUUUCCUGCCCAUUGCUCAAUGGCUCAAUCGCAUCGCUCUCCAGGCAACACCGUAAGGAGGAGCAACCUGCCAUUUCGAUAUAUCAUAGCUGUGUUUGUGCCCUCACUCAUGGUCCAGACUUUUUUCAAAUAGGACAUGAAGUUUGUCUGCAGCGAGUGUUUUGGUAGAAACUGCGCCUCCCAUUCAUUAUAAUAGGAAAUGACCACAGACAAGUGCGCACACCAUCUUUGGAUCUUGAGUGUGACGCGAUCGGGAGGGGGAGGCGGUCGCACUGGGGGCGGCGCGACACGGCUCGGGCCCGACAGUGCCCCAACGGGGUCCUAGUUAGGGCCCGAGCGUAGCUGCUAAGCAGCUGCGAGAGCCCUAUUAUUCCCCAAGUGGUUUUUCUUUGUUUCUUUAGGGCCCGAGCGUAGCUGCUAAGCAGCUGCGAGAGCCCUCUUGUUCCUGCAUGUUUCCUUCUUUUGUUAUUAUUAUUAUUAUUUUUCCUCCCCUUUGAACUGGAAAAUGGCCCACUUCCCACUGGCGAAAACUCAUGAAAUUUGGCAGGACGACCGGGCCUGGUGAAAAAUUUGAUAUUCCGAAGUCGCCCAAACAAGAAAAUGCAAAAUGGCUCCAUAGCGCCCCCUAAGGUGAAAAUUCACACUAUUCACUGUCACGCCUGUACGCUUUGUCAAAAUGACACAAAAAUUGACACACACAUGUAUCUCAAUAAGAUCUACAAAAAAGUCAGUGCGGGCGUAUCUGUCAAAUGUACGGUUAAAGGGUUAUUUCGCAUUUUUUGCCGAUCCGCACACAUUGGAAUUUCGCUAACUCCUCCGAAGGCUUUCGUUCCACCGGCACCACAUUUGCUCAGGCCAAUCUACACCCCAUGGCCAUUAAAAGUUAUUCAAAUCAUGACGCUGCACCCCACGGUUUAGGUUCUAGGGGGCGCCAAAGAUAACCCUAAGAUCCACAUAUUUAAAAGUCAUAUAACUUUUUAUUUUUGCCCUCACUGGCCUCCAAGUUUUCUAGGAUGAUGCAAUGUCCAGCCAUCAACACAUUUGUGAAGGAAUUUUUACUCCCUAAAAGAGGGCCCCCCCAUGGCAGGAGAAAAAAGUCCAUUUUUCUUUGUCCCCUAAGGUGAAAAUACACAUUGUUGAGUGUAACACCUGUACGCUUUGGCAAAAUGACACAAAAAUUGACACACACAUGUAUCUCAAUAAGAUCUACGAAAAAGUCAAUGCGCGCGUAUCUGUCAAAUGUACGGUUAAAGGGUUAUUCCGCAUUUUUUGCCGAUCCGCACACAUUGGAAUUUCGCUAACUCCUCCGAAGGCUUUCGUUCCACCGGCACCACAUUUGCUCAGGCCAAUCUACACCCCAUGGCCAUUAAAAGUUAUUCAAAUCAUGACGCUGCACCCCACGGUUUAGGUUCUAGGGGGCGCCAAAGAUAACCGUAAAAUCCACAUAUUUAAAAGUCUUAUAACUUUUUAUUUUUGUCCCCACUGGCCUCCAAGUUUUCUAGGAUGAUGCAAUGUCCAGCCAUCAACACAUUUGUGAAGGAAUUUUUACUCGGCAAAAGAGCGCCCCCCCAUGGCAGGAGAAAAAAGUCAAUUUUUUCUUGUCCACUAAGGUGAAAAUACACAUUGUUGAGUGCUACGCCUGUAUGUUUUGUCGUAUUGACACAAAAUUUUACAUACACGUGUAUUUCAAUAAGAUCUUCGAAAAAGUCAAUGGCCACGUAUCUGUAAAAUGUACGGUUAAAGGGUUAUUUCGCAUUUUUUGCAGAUUCGCACACAUUGGAAUUUGGCUAACUCCUCCUAAGGCUUUCGUCCCACUGACACCAAAUUUGCUCAGGCCAAUCUACACCCCAUGGCCAUUCAAAGUUGUAAAAAUCAUGACGCUGCACCCCACGGUUUACGUUCUAGGGGGCGCCAAAGAUGACCCAAAAAUCCACAUUCUUAAAAGAAUCCACAUCCCCCCCCCUAUGGCAGGAGAAAAAGUCAAGUUUUUCCUGCCCAUCGCUCAAUGGCUCAAUCGCAUCGCUCUCCAGGCAACACCGUAAGGAGGAGCAACCUGGCAUUUCGAUAUAUCAUAGCUGUGUUUGUGCCCUCACUCAUGGUCCAGACUUUUUUCAAAUAGGACAUGAAGUUUGUCUGCAGCGAGUGUUUUGGUAGAAACUGCGCCUCCCAUUCAUUAUAAUGGGAAAUGACCACAGACAAGUGCGCACACCAUCUUUGGUUCUUGAGUGUGACUCGAUCGGGACGGGGAGGCGGUCGCACUGGGGGCGGCGCGACGCGGCUCGGGCCCGACAGUGCCCCACCGGGGCCCUAGUUAUUAUUAUUUUUCCUCCCCUUUGAACUGGAAAAUGGCCCACUUCCCACUGGCGAAAACUCAUGAAAUUUGGCAGGACGACCGGGCCUGGUGAAAAAUUUGAUAUUCCGAAGUCGCCCAAACAAGAAAAUGCAAAAUGGCUCCAUAGCGCCCCCUAAGGUGAAAAUUCAAACUAUUGACUGUCACGCGUGUACGCUUUGUCAAAAUGACACAAAAAUUGACACACACAUGUAUCUCAAUAAGAUCUACAAAAAAGUCAGUGCGGGCGUAUCUGUCAAAUGUACGGUUAAAGGGUUAUUUCGCAUUUUUUGCCGAUCCGCACACAUUGGAAUUUCGCUAACUCCUCCGAAGGCUUUCGUUCCACCGGCACCACAUUUGCUCAGGCCAAUCUACACCCCAUGGCCAUUAAAAGUUAUUCAAAUCAUGACGCUGCACCCCACGGUUUAGGUUCUAGGGGGCGCCAAAGAUAACCCUAAGAUCCACAUAUUUAAAAGUCUUAUAACUUUUUAUUUUUGCCCUCACUGGCCUCCAAGUUUUCUAGGAUGAUGCAAUGUCCAGCCAUCAACACAUUUGUGAAGGAAUUUUUACUCCCCAAAAGAGCGCCCCCCCAUGGCAGGAGAAAAAAGUCCAUUUUUUCUUGUCCACUAAGGUGAAAAUACACAUUGUUGAGUGUAACACCUGUACGCUUUGGCAAAAUGACACAAAAAUUGACACACACAUGUAUCUCAAUAAGAUCUACGAAAAAGUCAAUGCGCGCGUAUCUGUCAAAUGUACGGUUAAAGGGUUAUUCCGCAUUUUUUGCCGAUCCGCACACAUUGGAAUUUCGCUAACUCCUCCGAAGGCUUUCGUUCCACCGGCACCACAUUUGCUCAGGCCAAUCUACACCCCAUGGCCAUUAAAAGUUAUUCAAAUCAUGACGCUGCACCCCACGGUUUAGGUUCUAGGGGGCGCCAAAGAUAACCCUAAAAUCCACAUAUUUCAAAGUCUUAUAACUUUUUAUUUUUGUCCUCACUGGCCUCCAAGUUUUCUAGGAUGAUGCAAUGUCCAGCCAUCAACACAUUUGUGAAGGAAUUUUUACUCCCCAAAAGAGCGCCCCCCCAUGGCAGGAGAAAAAAGUCAAUUUUUUCUUGUCCCCUAAGGUGGAAAUUCACACUAUUGACUGUCACGCCUGUACGCUUUAUCAUAUUGACACAAAAAUUGACACACAUAUGUAUCUCCAUAAGAUCUACAAAAAAGUCAAUGCGCGCGUAUCUGUCAAAUGUACGGUUAAAGGGCUAUUUUGCAUUUUUUGCCGAUUCGCACACAUUGGAAUGUGGCUAACUCCUCCUAAGGCUUUCGUCCCACUGACACCAAAUUUGCUCAGGCCAAUCUACACCCCAUGGCCAUUCAAAGUUGUAAAAAUCAUGACGCUGCACCCCACGGUUUACGUUCUAGGGGGCGCCAAAGAUGACCCAAAAAUCCACAUUCUUCAAAGAAUCCACAUUCCCCCCCCCCCCCCCCCCCCAUAUGGCAGGAGAAAAAGUUAAGUUUUUCCUGCCCAUCGCUCAAUGGCUCAAUCGCAUCGCUCUCCAGGCAACACCGUAAGGAGGAGCAACCUGCCAUUUCGAUAUAUCAUAGCUGUGUUUGUGCCCUCACUCAUGGUCCAGACUUUUUUCAAAUAGGACAUGAAGUUUGUCUGCAGCGAGUGUUUUGGUAGAAACUGCGCCUCCCAUUCAUUAUAAUAGGAAAUGACCACAGACAAGUGCGCACACCAUCUUUGGAUCUUGAGUGUGACGCGAUCGGGAGGGGGAAGCGGUCGCACUGGGGGCGGUGCGACACGGCUCGGGCCCGACAGUGCCCCAACGGGGUCCUAGUUAGGGCCCGAGCGUAGCUGCUAAGCAGCUGCGAGAGCCCUCUUGUUCCUGUAGUUUCCUUCUUUUGUUAUUAGGGCCCGAGCCAGCUGCAGAGCAGCCGGGCGUAGGCCCUAUUAUUCCCCAAGUGGUUUUUCUUUGUUUCUUUCUUUCUUUCUUUCUUUCUUCUUUUUCCUCCCCUUUGAACUGGAAAAUGGCCCACUUCCCACUGGCGAAAACUCAUGAAAUUUGGCAGGACGACCGGGCCUGGUGAAAAAUUUGAUAUUCUGAAGUCGCCCAAACAAUAAAAUGCAAAAUGGCUCCAUAGCGCCCCCUAAGGUGGAAAUUCACAUUAUUGACUGUCACGCCUGUACGCUUUGUCAUAUUGACACAAAAAUUGACACACAUAUGUAUCUCAAUAAGAUCUACAAAAAAGUCAGUGCGGCCGUAUCUGUCAAAAUUACGGUUAAAGGGUUAUUUCGCAUUUUUUGCCGAUCCGCACACAUUGGAAUUUCGCUAACUCCUCCGAAGGCUUUCGUUCCACCGGCACCACAUUUGCUCAGGCCAAUCUACACCCCGUGGCCAUUAAAAGUUAUCAAAAUCAUGACGCUGCACCCCAAGGUUUAGGUUCUAGGGGGCACCAAAGAUAACACUAAAAUCCACAUAUUUAAAAGUCUUAUAACUUUUUAUUUUUGUCCUCACUGGCCUCCAAGUUUUCUAGGAUGAUGCAAUGUCCAGCCAUCAACACAUUUGUGAAGGAAUUUUUACUCCCCAAAAGAGCGCCCCCCCAUGGCAGGAGAAAAAAGUCCAUUUUUUCUUGUCCCCUAAGGUGAAAAUACACAUUGUUGAGUGUCACGCCUAUACGCUUUGUCAAAAUGACACAAAAAUUGACACACACAUGUAACUCAAUAAGAUCUACGAAAAAGUCAAUGCGCGCAUAUCUGUCAAAUGUACGGUUAAAGGGUUAUUCCGCAUUUUUUGCCGAUCCGCACACAUUGGAAUUUCGCUAACUCCUCCGAAGGCUUUCUGUCCACCGGCACCACAUUUGCUCAGGCCAAUCUACACCCCAUGGCCAUUAAAAGUUAUUCAAAUCAUGAUGCUGCACCCCACGGUUUAGGUUCUAGGGGGCGCCAAAGACAACCCUAAAAUCCACAUAUUUAAAAGUCUUAUAACUUUUUAUUUUUGUCCUCACUGGCCUCCAAGUUUUCUAGGAUGAUGCAAUGUCCAGCCAUCAACACAUUUGUGAAGGAAUUUUUACUCCCCAAAAGAGCGCCCCCCCAUGGCAGGAGAAAAAAGUCCAUUUUUUUCUUGUCCCCUAAGGUGAAAAUACACAUUGUUGAGUGUCACGCCUAUACGCUUUGUCAAAAUGACACAAAAAUUGACAAUCACAUGUAACUCAAUAAGAUCUACGAAAAAGUCAAUGCGCGCGUAUCUGUCAAAUGUACGGUUAAAGGGUUAUUCCGCAUUUUUUGCCGAUCCGCACACAUUGGAAUGUGGCUAACUCCUCCUAAGGCUUUCGUUCCACCGGCACCACAUUUGCUCAGGCCAAUCUACACCCCAUGGCCAUUAAAAGUUAUCAAAAUCAUGACGCUGCACCCCACGGUUUAGGUUCUAGGGGGCGCCAAAGAUAACCCUAAAAUCCACAUAUUUAAAAGUCUUAUAACUUUUUAUUUUUGUCCUCACUGGCCUCCAAGUUUUCUAGGAUGAUGCAAUGUCCAGCCAUCAACACAUUUGUGAAGGAAUUUUUACUCCCCAAAAGAGCGCCCCCCCAUGGCAGGAGAAAAAAGUCCAUUUUUUCUUGUCCCCUAAGGUGAAAAUACAUAUUGUUGAGAUUCACGCCUAUACGCUUUGUCAUAUUGACACAAAAUUUGACAAUCACGUGCCUUGCCUGGUAUCAUUUUUUUCAGCACAACCUCACCUGUGCGAAUUUACAGUUAUUUUAUCAUGUUUGACAUACUGAAUUUACACAAUGGACCCAAAUUCACACACAAAACAUAAAAUCCGAGUGGAAAAAAGUAACAUUUUUACUGUGAAAACCACAAAUAUGUGUGAUGAACUGUUUUUAAAACUUAAACUUCAAAUAAAAAUUGUAAACUUCAAAACAUAUGCAAAUUUUUAACAAAGAACAUAGUGAUUUACCUCUAUUUACAUCAAAAUGCAGGCAAUGGCCCAGGCGUUCUUUGUAAAAUUAUUUACAAAACACUGUAUAGUCUCACAAAUGUCACUUUUUAUUUAUGCCACUACAAAAAAACAUGAUGUAAAUGAUGCAUGAUGUAAAACAUGAUGUAAAAAACUUGUGUAGAUCCUCCUGUAUGUCAGUCCAUGUGUAAUUUUUCCAUAAUUCUUUGUUUUUUGCAGCAUUUUUGUUAGUGUAACUGCAGAUUGUGCUGACAGUGUCUAUGGCACAAAAAAAAAAAAAAUUAAAAUGCCUCAACAUGAACCCCUGGUGGUCUCUGAGGGUGAAACCUGCUAACUGCUGCAGCUCUGUCAGCUUCAGUCUCCCAUGCAGAGCUCUGAGCGCAUGUGUGGCUCUGCACCCUUAGCAGCGUUGCUAACUCCUCAGUAAGGAAAGCCUGCUUCAUGUCAGAGUCUCUAAACUCCAGAAGAAGUCGAUAAAAGUCCCUUUCUUUCUAAAAAAAGUCGUUAGGGGGUCUGAAAAGUCAUUGAAUCUAACAACAAAGUCGCUAGGUUUGCAACUACGUGUCCCAGACUGCAUCCCUGCUGAGAGUCCCUCCCUCCCUUCUCAUGUUGCAGGAAGAACGUAAGCGCCCUCCCCUUGUCAAUCAGUCACCAUAUAAUUUUGGAUUGGUUGUUGUGGUGAAGUUUUCCACCAAUAGGAGAGAUGUUGUGGUGUGUUUUUUUUUUCUUUUGGCAAGCCUUUUCCGCCUGUAAGACCUGUUGCUAAUGUCUGCAUGCUAUGUUUUCCUGUCUCAUACAGCGCGAUCGAGCGCCGAACGUGAUCAAAAUAAGCAGAAAAAAAGUAUCGCGGACAUAAUUUAUCAUAACUCUGGUUUUAUUUGGCCUAUCAACACAAUUUAAAAACUGGUAUAUAGGUUGAGGUCCUCACUUUUGAGAUAAGUUGAAACGGAGAGUCAACGAGGCUCCGUCUUGCAGCUACAUCCGGUUAAAUAUGUCAUGUGACUUGAACGCACACACAGACACACACACACGCACACACACACACACACACACACACACACACACACACACUCAGAGUCUGGUUUUUAGCACCUGCAAAAACAUGCUAUUUACAUAUUUGACAAGAAUGCAGAGGCUCCCUUUGCCCCUGAAAAAAAAAUCAAAUUUCAAACACAACUUGACUGGUCAUUUCUCCAAAAGACAACCAUGAAGCUCCAUCCAAACCUGAAGCAGGCAGUUGGUGCAUGUGUACAGUAACCUGAGGGGAGUGAGGUGAGUGCUUCUGAGGAGAACAUGAGCAGUGAAGAUUCACCUUGGAGCUAGAACAGAGACAUGCACAAGAUUAUACAGGGGCAGGGGCUCAAGUUUUUUCCAGUCGUUUAUACAAUAUGGAAAUUAAUGUGAAAUUAAAACACAAAGUAUUAAUAGAAAGGUAAUGACUGUCCUGUGUAGGUGACAGUGAUAUCCAAUAGGCUAGGCACUCACGAGGCUGGCUGUGGCAAGUGUAAGUGAAAGCAACACGCACUGGCAGGAAGAACAGCAAACGCCGAUGAAGGAAAAGGGUCUUUGCAGUGAUGGGCGUUACAAGAGAGGGCGAUGGCCAGAGGACACAAAUGGGACGGGGAGGCAGCACGUUGCGACACGGCUCGGGCCCGCCAGUGCCCCAACGGGGUCCUAGUUAUUAGGGCCCGAGCGUAGCUGCUAAGCAGCUGCGAGAGCCCUCUUGUUCCUGUAGUUUCCUUCUUUUGUUAUUAUUAUUAGGGCCCGAGCGUAGCUGCUAAGCAGCUGCGAGAGCCCUAUUAUUCCCCAAGUGGUUUUUCUUUGUUUCUUUUUUCUUUUUCCUCCCCUUUGAACUGGAAAAUGGCCCACUUCCCACUGGCGAAAACUCAUGAAAUUUGG